rnacentral:lncRNA from 1 species
AAUAUUUCAUGGAUGGACAUCUUUAUUCAAUACAUAUGGAGGCAAACAAGAAAUAUUUUCCGUACUAGAAAUAGGCAUAUGUCUCAGUCUAACAUGCCGCAUAUUGUGAGUAGUAUUUGCAGAUGUAUACAUAGAGUGAAUUGGAAAACAACUAGCAGAGUUAUGUAAAGAAACUGUAGUUGAUUGUCUGAGUGAGUUCUUUGGUGGUGAAUGGAUGGACUGAAGAAUGUAGAAAUUAUUUCUGAUUUUACCAAGACCUAGUGCCCUCUUCAGUGAAGGGCCAUGCAAAGAGCAUAAAAGACACUAAAAAUCAGGUCAAUACCAAAUUGGAGACAGAAAUUGUGUACAGAUAACGAAUUAAAUUUGAAUGAGGGAACAAAUAAGACUCUAUUUAGGAUUAGGUAUAUAAAAGAGCAACUCUCCCUGCAUGACGUACUUUUAUCAUAUAGGAAUUUUGAAGGUUAACAGUUAAAGGAUAAGGGAGUAUAUAAAUGUCAAAGAGAAUUGAUUUAUCAAAAGUUAUGUGUUCUGAUGCUCCAGUAUCAAGAAUCCAUGAAUGUAUGAAGGAUUUAUUAGGAAGAAUAUAUGGUAAAAUAGGAGCAAUACCAACAUAAUUUGCAGUCACAUUAACAUCAGAAGUUGAUACUGCUUGUUGACCACUUUACUUUUCCUUCAACUGAGAAUAUUGCUCUUGGCUUAGUCCCACAGGGUACUGAAUUUGUAACUCAUGUAUAUUAAAGAUACCUAAAUUUUGAUUCCUUUGCAUAGUUUGAAAAGCAGAGUGUUGAUCAAUGGUCCCCUGCGUAUUAAAGCAUCAUGUUGGAUUCCCCAUUAUGUUGUGAUUUUCAUCUUCAGUUAUAGCUAAAUUUUACUGUACUACAUAUUAUUUCUGAAAGGUUCUAGGAUUAUUAGAUUUGAAGUUGGCAAAAUAUCCAUGGAGCUUAAAACACUUUUCACUAGUAUGUCCUGGUUUUUGGCAAAAGUUGCAAAACAUUUUUCUCCUGUCAUUUCUCCAGAUUGUGUUUAACUUGUUACCAUUUUUGAAAGAAGUAUUAAAACUCAUUUUUCC